UAAUAGCCCAGACCACCAGUUAAGGCCCCAAAAUAAUUACUAAGUGAUAAAGGAGGUAUUGGUACAUAGACAACCAGGAGGUUUGCUUAGAAGCAGCAAUCCUUUAAAAAUAGCGUAAUAGCUUACUGGUCAAGUGCCUUUGCGCCGAUAAUGAACGGGGCUAAGUAAUUUGCCGAAGCUGUGGGGUUUAAACGGUAGAAGAGCGUUCUGUUCAGGAUGAAGUAUUAGCGAAAGCAAGUAUGGACUUAACAGAAGUGAGAAUGUCGGCUUAAGUAACGAAAACAUUGGUGAGAAUCCAAUGCUCCGAAAACCCAAGGUUUCCUUCGCAAGGUUCGUCCUCGGAGGGUUAGUCAGGUUCUAAGAUGAGGCCAAAAGGCGUAGUCGAUGGUUAACAGGUUAAUAUUCCUGUACUAUAUUAAGAAUUGCGUACGGAUGACAAAGAAGGCUAAGCUUACCAGAUUUUGGUUGUUCUGGUCGAAAUUAUCGAGGUGUUGAUAAAGCUUAUGAAAAAAGUUUUUGAGCUGAGAAAUGAUAGGUAAGAUGCUACGGCAUUUGAAAAGUUUAUGUCAUACUUUCUAGAAAAAUCCUUGUAAUGGUAACGAUUAAUAUACCUGUACCGUAAACUGACACAGGUGGGUAGGUAGAGUAUACUAAGGAGCGCGAGCGAACUCUUUUUAAGUAACUCGGCAAAAUAGUCUUGUAACUUCGGAAGAAAAGAUGCCUUGCGAUGAGCAAGGUCGCAGUGACCAGAUCUAGGCGACUGUUUACCAAAAACACAGGUCUCCGCAAAGUUGAAAAACGACGUAUGGGGGCUGACGCCUGCCCAGUGCCAGAAGGUUAAAGGAACCGGUUAGCUUUUGCGAAGCUGGUGACUGAAGCCCUGGUGAACGGCAGCAAUAACUAUGAUUGUUCUAUGGUAGCGAAAUUCCUUGUCGGGUAAGUUCCGACCCGCACGAAAGGCGUAACGAUCUAGAAACUGUCUCAAAAAGAGGCUCGGUGAAAUAGAACUAACUGUGAAGAUGCGGUUAACUUGCACUUGGACAGAAAGACCCUAUGAAGCUUUUACUGUAACCUGAUAUUGGUUUUGGACUUUUUUUGCGCAGCAUAGGUGGGAGGCUAUGAUGCUUUCUUUCGGGGAAGUUGAGCCAACAGUGAGAUACCACUCUAAAAAAGUUAGAAAUCUAAUGACAUUUCUUUUAACAGGAUGUUUGACAUUGUCAGGCGGGCAGUUUUACUGGGGCGGUAGCCUCCUAAAAGGUAACGGAGGCGUACAAAGGUUUUCUCAAACUAGACGGAAAUUAGUUGUAGAGUGUAAAGGCAAAAGAAAGCUUAACUGUUAGACUUACAAGUCAAGCAGAGACGAAAGUCGGUCUUAGUGAUCCGACGGUACCGAAUGUAAGGGCCGUCGCUUAACGGAUAAAAGUUACUCUAGGGAUAACAGGCUGAUCUCCUCCAAGAGUUCACAUCGACGAGGAGGUUUGGCACCUCGAUGUCGGCUCAUCGCAUCCUGUAGCGGCAGUACGUUACAAGGGUUGGGCUGUUCGCCCAUUAAAGCGGUACGUGAGCUGGGUUCAGAACGUCGAGAGACAGUUCGGUCCAUAUCCGGUGUGAGCGUUAGAAUAUUGAGGUAAGAUUUUUCUAGUACGAGAGGACCGAAAAAUACACACCGCUGGUGUACCAGUUCUUAUACCAAUAGGAAAUGCUGGGUAGUCAUGUGUGGAGUGGAUAACUGCU
rnacentral:rRNA from 1 species